UACAGAGGGGGCGAGCGUUGUUCGGAUUUACUGGGCGUAAAGGGCGCGUAGGCGGCGGGCCAAGUCGAGUGUGAAAGCCCCGGGCUCAACCUGGGAGGUGCGCUCGAGACUGGUUUGCUGGAGUUCGGGAGAGGAGCGUGGAAUUCCCAGUGUAGAGGUGAAAUUCGUAGAUAUUGGGAAGAACACCGGUGGCGAAGGCGGCGCUCUGGACCGAGACUGACGCUGAGGCGCGAAGGCGUGGGGAGCAAACAGG
rnacentral:rRNA from 1 species